UUUGAUUUGAUUUAAUUUGGUUAUUUAGUUUAGAUUUGAUUUGGUUAUUUGAAUUAGAUUUAGUCUCAGUCAUAUCGGAGAUUUAAUUCUGUAAUGCUAUAUAAUGAGAGAUUUCUCCCUCCAUUC